rnacentral:rRNA from 1 species
UACGUAGGGUGCGAGCGUUAAUCGGAAUUACUGGGCGUAAAGCGUGCGCAGGCGGGCUUUUAAGCCAGACGUGAAAUCCCCGGGCUUAACCUGGGAAUGGCGUUUGGGACUGGAAGUCUGGAGUGCGGCAGAGGAGACUGGAAUUCCUGGUGUAGCAGUGAAAUGCGUAGAUAUCAGGAGGAACACCGAUGGCGAAGGCAGGUCUCUGGGCUGACACUGACGCUGAUGCACGAAAGCGUGGGGAGCAAACAGG